rnacentral:rRNA from 1 species
GAUGAACGCUGGCGGCGUGCCUAAUACAUGCAAGUCGAGCGAACGGACGAGAAGCUUGCUUCUCUGAUGUUAGCGGCGGACGGGUGAGUAACACGUGGAUAACCUACCUAUAAGACUGGGAUAACUUCGGGAAACCGGAGCUAAUACCGGAUAAUAUAUUGAACCGCAUGGUUCAAUAGUGAAAGACGGUCUUGCUGUCACUUAUAGAUGGAUCCGCGCCGCAUUAGCUAGUUGGUAAGGUAACGGCUUACCAAGGCAACGAUGCGUAGCCGACCUGAGAGGGUGAUCGGCCACACUGGAACUGAGACACGGUCCAGACUCCUACGGGAGGCAGCAGUAGGGAAUCUUCCGCAAUGGGCGAAAGCCUGACGGAGCAACGCCGCGUGAGUGAUGAAGGUCUUCGGAUCGUAAAACUCUGUUAUUAGGGAAGAACAUAUGUGUAAGUAACUGUGCACAUCUUGACGGUACCUAAUCAGAAAGCCACGGCUAACUACGUG